rnacentral:rRNA from 1 species
CCCUCAGUAACGGCGAGUGAAGCGGGAAUAGCCCAGCGUUGAACCGUCAGUCAACUGGCGGGCUGUGACGUUUGGUAAUGUGGCCUAUCCACGGCGUUAGCAUCGGCCCAAUUAUUCUGGAACGGAUAGCCAUCGAGGGUGAUAGCCCCGUCUAGGUCUGGUGCGCGUCGUGGUAAUCUCAUUACUUAGAGUCGGGUUGUUUGGGAAUGCAGCCCAAAGCGGGAGGUGAACUCCUUCUAAGGCUAAAUAUCAGGACGAAACCGAUAGCGAACAAGUACCGUGAGGGAAAGUUGAAAAGCACUUUGAAAAGAGAGUUAAACAGUACGUGAAACCGUUAAGAGGCAAACGGUGAAGUCGUCGAAAGUGCUCGGCACCACUCAACCUGUUGCUUGCGGUCCUGCGGACGUCGCGUAUCUUUGGAGUGCGUGUCUGUCGGUUCCGUGGGUGGCUGGUGCAUUUGGUGUCGGGCUAAGUCACGACCGAUUGCUCGAGAGUUCACAGUCUGGCUGCAAGUGAGGUUUACCUUAUUCGUCGGGCUUAAGCUUUUGGGUGAUCRAGGUAGUGGUGGGCCGGRCUCUAUUGGCGCGCGUGUAGUCGUGGUUGUGCGUUUCUGGAUGGCAGACUGCUUGCAGUGAGUUGUCCUGGGCGUGCUUCUCGCGGUUGCCUCGUGCAAACGGCCUGCCCUGUCAGUGGCCAUUGGACGUCCUUUACCGACCCGUCUUGAAACACGGACCAAGGAGUCUAACAUGUGUGCGAGUCCCAAGGGAUCGUAAACCCGCGGGCGAAAUGAAAGUGAACAGGUGGGAAGUCUUCUGACCGCACCGCCGUCCCGUCGUUGAUCCAUUGUGUGACUGGCGGAGAACGAGCAUAAAUGUUGGGACCCGAAAGAUGGUGAACUAUGCCUGAGCAGGAUGAAGCCAGGGGAAACUCUGGUGGAGGUCCGUAGCGAUUCUGACGUGCAAAUCGAUCGUCUGAUUUGGGUAUAGGGGCGA